rnacentral:lncRNA from 1 species
CUAAAACAUUAUGCGAGUGUGUGUCAGUACAUAAUAUAGGAGAGCGGCGAGCUUAUCUAGAGCAUAGCUAGAGGUGCUCACGAAAUCUCUUUGUACUAGUUUGGGUAAAAAUACAUCUAUCCUACACCUGCACGCUACACACAGUCGAUAGAUUUGAAUGAAUAUAGAGUACCUACGAUUUGAUUUUGAAUUAUAAGAUUGAGGUCAUCUACAUCUUUAUUUUUAGCGGCCAAAAUUGCUCGCUCACUUAACCAUUUAGUAUUUUUGUGGUUAGCAAUGAUAUCCGGGAAUACGUUGUUGAUAAGCUCGUCUUUUGAUGAUACGAAAUUCCAAAAAUUUGGAGGAUUUGUCAACAGGUACACGGCCAUUACCGAUCAGCAAUUGCUUCGAUAAAUCAUCAGCAGAUAGAUCGUUCAACAAUGCAACUCUCAUAUUUACAGACAGUUGAAGUUUCUUUACAUAUCGCCACAGAUUUGAUGCUUGGAGGCAAGCGUUUAUUUCGUCUGCAGCAGUAGAUCUUGGAAUGACUGGUAGUGUUUGUCGGAAAUCGCCAGAUAAUAAAAUCAUUGCACCACCAAAAUAUCUCGAGUCAUUGCCCAGAUCUUUUAAUGUUCGGUCUACUGCUUCCAAUGCGCGUUUGUGCGCCAUUGUGUAUUCGUCCCAUAUGAUGAUUUUUGAUGCUACUAAAACUUUGGCCAUUGCGGAGUUUUUCGAAAUGAUACAUGUCGGUUGUUCAGUAGUUUGAAGGUUUAAUGGCAAUUAUAACGCUGAGUGAGCCGAACGGUAUCCGUCUAACAAUGUGGCCGCUAUUCCAGAAGAAGCAAUUGCUACCGCAAUUUCGGAUCUCGCACGUACAGUGGCCAAAAUCAAUGACAUGAGGAAUGUCUUCCCAGUUCCACCGGGGGCAUCCAAAAAUAAAAUAAGCCGCCAUUUCCAUCAUCAAUUGCAUUAAUCAGUGUAUCAUAGACUUUCCUCUGCUUAGGAUUCAACAGAGGUACAUUCGUUUGAAGUGAUUGGAAUAGUUCAUGUUCCAAUUCGCUAUUAAUUCUCAUUCAUUCCGCGAUCUGGCGCUGGCAUUCCUAACCUAACUAACAAACUGCCGCACAUGAGGUAACACAUAUCUUCGAUCAAGAGCAAAGUCUGGUUAUGGAUCUCCUCAUUCACCUCAAGAUCGGAAUUUCUUGAGCUGACGCGAAUUCGAUGUAAAAUAUCUUCGAACAUGUUAUCUUUGUAUUUGUUCCCCAGGUCAAGUGGGUUCGAUGGGAAGCAUGUUAAAAUGAUGAUAGCAAAUAAUGUGCGUAUCUGGAAUGGAGAUGCAGGAAUAAUUGCUUCAGCGAUUGUCGUGUCCCACUGAGUAUCGUUUUCAAGCAAAUUUAGCUCUUGACAUUCUGCACGAAAUGUGGGGCACACGUUACCAUUAACAGUUCGCGGUGAUUCAAAUGAUGUUGGCCCUCGAACAUGUACCAGCAACAACCGCAAAUAGAAAGAUUCAUCAUUCUUUGGAUGAACUAUGUAAAUACGACCAAGAGCAUCAGUAGAACGCAUAUCUGUCGAUGGUGCAAUCAUACAGAAACACUGCUCGAUUCAAACCAUUUCUUCAUGCACUUCGAAGAUUAUUUAUCUGUUCUUCUGUACGAUAAGCUCGACGAUUUCUCUCUCUUUGCUCUUGUGUUUGAGAAGCACGAAUUAAGGCCCUUCUUUGCUCUUUUCUUCUUUCAGAUAAUUGACUCGCGAUAUUCCGUUGCCUAAUUGCAUUACGGCUUCGCUGGGAAAGAUUGGAUCUUCUAGGACGCGGCAUUGUUAUUCAAAUUAUUAAUAAAAAAUUAAACAAAUAAAUGAAACAAAUAUUAAAUAUGAUUAAACAAA